UACGUAGGGGGCUAGCGUUGUCCGGAUUUAUUGGGCGUAAAGAGCGUGUAGGCGGCCAGGUAGGUCUGCUGUGAAAACUCGAGGCUCAACCUCGAGACGUCGGCGGAAACCAUCUGGCUAGAGUCCGGAAGAGGAGAGUGGAAUUCCUGGUGUAGCGGUGAAAUGCGCAGAUAUCGUAAGGAAGACCAGUGGCGAAGGCGGGUCUCUGGACAGUUCCUGACACUGAGACACGAAGGCCAGGGGAGCAAACGGG
rnacentral:rRNA from 1 species